rnacentral:rRNA from 1 species
GACGAACGCUGGCGGCGUGCUUAACACAUGCAAGUCGAACGGAAAGGCCCUGCUUUUGUGGGGUGCUCGAGUGGCGAACGGGUGAGUAACACGUGAGUAACCUGCCCUUGACUAUGGGAUAACUUCAGGAAACUGGGGCUAAUACCGGAUAGGAGCUCCUGCUGCAUGGUGGGGGUUGGAAAGUUUCGGCGGUUGGGGAUGGACUCGCGGCUUAUCAGCUUGUUGGUGGGGUAGUGGCUUACCAAGGCUUUGACGGGUAGCCGGCCUGAGAGGGUGACCGGCCACAUUGGGACUGAGAUGCGGCCCAGACUCCUACGGGAGGCAGCAGUGGGGAAUAUUGCACAAUGGGCGGAAGCCUGAUGCAGCAACGCCGCGUGCGGGAUGACGGCCUUCGGGUUGUAAACCGCUUUCGCCUGUGACGAAGCGUGAGUGACGGUAAUGGGUAAAGAAGCACCGGCUAACUACGUG